rnacentral:lncRNA from 1 species
AACAAUUAGACUCACUGCCUCUUUGGAAAAAAUACUUUCCUGGCAGGAAAAUGAAAUUAAUAAACAACAGUAUAUUUAGGCCCGGGGGAAGUCUUAUUCAUAGACCUUACCCAGAAAGUAGACUUGAUUCAAUGAGCUUCAGGAAGGAAAUUGAAGGCUUAAUUUGUAUUUCUUUCUCAGAAGUAGACGUAUGAAUCUUUGGAAACUUUUUCUAUCUUUGAAAUACGUUGCCUCAGACAAGCCUUGAUUCUGACAAUUCACUGAAGACUUACUAAGAGCAUAAAUUGAUGUCGGGGACAGUUGAUCCAAACAGCAACAAGGGAUAAUAGAAAUACCAGCAGCUCCCUCACCAAGGGAAAAGAAAUGAUUUUUUAGGGAUAACUUAUUUUUUCCUUAUGGGUAAAGGAGAAGCAUGAAAAUAUGUUUCUAUCUUAUCCAUGUAGUUCUGAUACUUCAUCUUUGAGAAAAUAAAUUGCUGAUCACCAUUUAAUAGAAUAUGGCACUGAGCGACCAAAGGAAGAGAAAACGCCGCUCAUUUGAAAGAUAAUGCAAGGACCAUUGCUAACAUGUAUGGAUUUAUGAAUGCUGAGAUUGAGAAGGAAUCAUGAGUCUCUACAAGGUUGGAGACCGUGAUGUGCCCUGCCUGGCUGACUCUGGCUUCACACUCUGCAUUGUGUGUGCAGGGAGAUUCUGGAGACUCUGCCAAGGAUCUGGUUACCUCUGCACAACACAGAAGACAGGUUGAGGAGGACAGAAAGCUGAGGGACUUCUUCAGGGAAAAAUAAUCUCAGUGUAGCAUCUCUGUAAGCCGGCCUCCAUUUUACUUGAAGGCUGAAAAGGACCUCUGAAGACGCAUUAACUUACUCAAUAGCUUCCAUUCAGCUUACCAUUACCAGCAAUGACUCUGUUCUGGAAUUCCCCAAGUGUUACUCCCCUCUCCAGUAAACCCCAUGCAGAGCAAUGGCACGCAGGAGACAGUCUCAGCUUCACAUUUGGAAUGAGCCAGUCUAAGAGAUCAUCUUCUUAUGAAGGGACAGAAAGGUUCUCCCUGAAGUUAUGCCAACACAGAGGGACUUGCUUGGAUUUCUUCAAAUCCAUCAUUUGUGUCAUGUCAGGCCAUGACUAUUUAUCUUUGUGA